UACGUAGGGGGCAAGCGUUGUCCGGAAUCAUUGGGCGUAAAGAGCGUGUAGGCGGCCUGAUAAGUCGGCUGUGAAAGUCAAGGGCUCAACCCUUGAAUGCCGGCCGAUACUGUCAGGCUAGAGUCCGGAAGAGGCGAGUGGAAUUCCUGGUGUAGCGGUGAAAUGCGCAGAUAUCAGGAGGAACACCGAUGGCGAAGGCAGCUCGCUGGGACGGUACUGACGCUGAGGCGCGAAAGCGUGGGGAGCAAACAGG
rnacentral:rRNA from 1 species